rnacentral:rRNA from 1 species
UAAUCACUUGUUCUUUAAAUGAGGACUCGUAUCAACGGCAUCACGAGGAUCCUACUGUCUCCCCCCUCUAAUCGGUGAAACUGAUCUCUCCGUGAAGAAGCGGAGAUGUACAUAUAAGACGAGAAGACCCCAUGGAGCUUUAAACCCAACAACACCCGCCCCCCUCCAAAUCCUAUUAUUUACCCGGUGAUUGUUUGUUUGGUUUUAGGUUGGGGUGACCGCGGAGUAUAAGAUAUCCUCCAUGAAAAAAGCUAACUGCCCUUAUUAGAGAAAGACACUUCCAAAAAAUAAUAAAUUAAUUUUAAAUGAUCCGACAUUCGAUCAACGAACCAAGUUACCCUGGGGAUAACAGCGCAAUCCGUCCCGAGAGCCCCUAUCGACAGGCGGGUUUACGACCUCGAUGUUGGAUCAGGGUAUCCCAGUGGUGCAGCAGCUACUAAAGGUUCGUUUGUUCAACGAUUAAAACCCU